UGCUCUGCAUCGUAGCCAUACUUGAUGUCUGACUUACUAUUGAAGAAUUGUUUAGUAAUUCAUAGCUACAUUUGAGCUGAAUAUGUUCAUGUUUGUCAUUUCCUUCUGCUGUUCUCCUCCACCCCUCUGUCCAUUUUAGGUGGUAGCUUUAAAACUGCAAGUACCGUUAGAAGAAAUGAAGAAGACAGCAUGAAACUCACAGAACAUGUCAAAAACAGAAAUAAGAGACUGAUUAAGAAAGAGAACCUUCAGAAGGAAGUGGUACUUCCAGAACUUCUCACAUUCACUGUAGAGAAAUACGUGCCAGAUUUAGCAGAUGUUGCUGAUGCUGCAGAAGUGCUGUUACCCAGAAGCAGUGCUCAGAUCAUGCCAGUCUUAGAGACUGUGAAAGACUGGACUGGAGUAGUUGGCAAAGCUGUAUAAGAUAAAUCUCAAUGGCAUUCUGGCUGAUGAACCUGGACUUGGAAAAACAGUGCACGUUGUUGCUUUUUUUUGUGCACCGGGCAUAUAAUGAAGAACUCAAGAAUAUCUCAGAAGUGGGCACUUCAUCAGCGUCCUCCAUGUUCUGACGCAGAUGCUCAAGGUGUGUAAUCAUCCUGAUCCGUUAAGUCCUUGGCUUCCAAGUUCUUCCUGUGUAUUAGACAUGCUGGAGUUUACAAUUGCUUCUCUAUUGCUGAAUGCAUUAGAAUGGAAUCUUUGGAAGCAUGCAGAUCAGUCUGUCUUUGGUGUGAUUGGGAUGGAACACCAAACUACUUACAAAGCAAAAAUACUGCUGAAACUGAAGAUACCCAGGAAGCUUAUUGAAGAGAUCUGCUGUUCUCCUUCGUCCCCAGUGAAGCUCAAACCAAACAGGCAAGAUGGAAGCUCUGGCUGCCUUGUUUUGGAAGGUGAAAUCAAGAGGACAUCGUGUAUUGGUUUUGGUGCAGAUGAUUCUAGUGCUUGAUUAUACUGGAGCUUUUCUUGAACAUCCAUUUUCUUACAUAUGUAAGAGUUAAUGAGAGUGGUGCUCACAGUUGGCAUCAUCUGGUAAGAGGACCUCUUGCUCAAGCUAAUAGUUAAUAUAUGCUCAUAGCAGGAGGGAAAAUGGUAAAGGGAAGUUUAAUACAUUUGCAAAAUUAAUUUGCAUAAUUUUAUUAGUUAUUUAAGCAAAUUAUGUAUGUAGCUGUCACACAAAUAUGUAAUUAUAUAUGAAAUAUGUCAGUCAUACUAUUUGAUGAGGCAUCCGGGGUGCUUCCAAGAGGCAUGCCACUAGUUGUCCUACAUUUAUGAGUAAUUUGUGUUUGAAAUACAGAUGCUUUAUUUCACAAUAUUUCACAAUUUCAUAAUUGCUUUGGCUUUCAUUAUCUGUACCUAUCUACACUGUUAGUACUGUAAGUGUACUUGCUGCUUUUAUGUUGGCACUUCCUCAGCCUUACUCCAGGGGCUUUUGCUUUUUGUAGAGCGCCCUGGCAUUGCCUGAGGAUAAAUUGAAAGCAUGUUCAUUUCCCUCCCCAGUACGAUUCUCAGUACCCUCUGGGGCCUACAAUUUGAGCAAACAUUAACAAUAUAGUUAAUUCAUUCUUUUCCCUUUUCUUUUUUUUAAUUUCCAAUUGCAUUGUUAUGAUUUCUGCCAGAUGCAGUAGAAAACAUGAAGGAAUACUUUGCCUUAAAGCAAAACAAGGCAGCACAAUAGAAGGGAUUCAAUUUAGUCAGUAGACAAGAAAAGCGCCGAAGCACACACAGCAUAAUAACCCAGUCAGUGUGCAUAGUAACUGCAAUGGUAUUCUCUUGUUUUCCAGUUAGGUAAAUGGAAGGAGCCUAUUCUCAGUGAUAUUGGUGUGACAUGAGGGGAAUGUCAGAUUUUUGGUCCUUAUAUCUCUUUUCUAUCUUAAUUAUGGUGCUGUAUUUGCAAGCAAAAGGAAUUAAAAUUCAGUUUAAUUAACUUUACUAUGCCCAUUAGCCUGUAAAAAGUGUGACUCAGGUCAGUGGCAAUGUACCGUUGUUAGCAUAUUUAUUGUGAAAAGUACUAAUAUUUAAAGUGUACAGAUUUUCUUCCUAAAAGGAGCUAAAACCCACAAAUGUAAAAUGGGAAUAUCAGCAUGCGAAGGAGGUGCAAAAUGCUUCAGAAGAAGUGAAAGAGGAACUCUUAACAUACACCAGACAAAAUGCUUAUAGCACAUAAGGGAUCUCCAAGUCCUUUUUGACAGACAUGAUAACUUUGUCCUGCCACUUAGCUUCAACUGAGAGAAAGAAGCAUUGCCAUAGAAGGACAGCUGUUCCUCCACCUUCCCUUUUUGGCCAGAUGACUCGAAGAAUAUUGAAAACAAGACAGAAGAGCAAAGCUCAGAAGACACUCCUCUGGGUAAAACAGAAAACGCGUUUUGUGAGACCUUUGUCAGCUGUCAUCAAGUCAGCUGCUGACAGUGGCUAACACUAUCCUGCAUGGCUAACUGCUGGAGACUUGGCACUGUUCAAAGUAAGAUGGGGCUUUGUUUAUUUUGGCUUCAAAAACUUUUUACUUCAAAGUUUAUGACAGCAUGGUUAGACCUCAAUUAAGGAUUACCCAUGCUUGUGCACACAACAGAAGCAUUUAAUUGAAACGUUACACUGGGGUGAUUUCUCUCUGCCUCCUAGGCUACCAAACAGUUACAGGCACUUCCUUGAACCUUGCUAUUGUGUUACCAGCAGAGACAGCAAACUAGGACUUUGUCUGCCAUGUCUUUAACACUUGUAACUAUGUUUAUGGCUUCCCCAAGCAAUGCCAAAAUUGUUACAUAAAAGCACUUGCAGAUCCAGGAGGAAAGGUGAGUUUGAGAUGUGCAUUACAUUGUGAAGACCGGGGUUUUUCUUUGUUUUGGGGUUUAUUUCCUUUAUUUUAAAUUCCUCAUUUCUGUUAGUGUUUGGUAACAACACUUCUGUGGCUGUCUCAUUUUUUUUUGGUAUUUUAGCAAUGUCAGAAGCAGGCAACCCUGCUAUAUAAUAAUUUUUUGUCAGGUCAGAAUUUUCUGUCACAAUUAUUGGUACAGACAAUUAGGAAAUAAUUUCAGGAUGAAUCUUUACAUGACUUCAUGGUUGUGUUUUUUUUCUACUCAGAAUUUAAAUAAUUCAAAAGAAGCCUAUUGCUGUGGUCCCUCCCCUUCCAUCUGUUUCUGUUGUCGUAGGUGUUGCCUGAAAUAAAAUUGGAGCAACAGCCUAGUCAGAAGCAAGAGGAACAAUGGAGCAAAUCCCAACCCAGUGUCAACCACAGGGGGAAACACAGUAGGCAGAGAAAUACGUUCCUCACAGCUAAAAGAAUCUGCAAGCAUGGAUUCAUGUACACUUAUAGAAUCUGUUUUGACUUUGGUGAGGCUGUGUGUAGGACUUUCAGCAAAUCUGGAGAACUGGGACACUGAGUAAUGGGAGCAUUUUCUUUUAACCGAGCUGAGGUGGUGGAAUUUAAUGUUACUUAAAAAGCAGACUCUUGCUCAUGGAUAUAAGAAUACUAUUCAAAACUUAAUUACAGACAAGCUCUUUCUUAAAGAAUCAGGAUUUUGGGCUUCAUCCCAGAAGGGAUUUAAUGAUGCUGAAAAAGGCAUUCCAUAUAUAGACUGGAACAAAUGUCAUUUUAUGAUACUAAUAUAAUGGUACUUUUCCAGUGUGUGUAUCUCACUCAUUGGAAAAAUUCCGUAAAACUUCACGUCCUCUUUUGUGAACCCUUUGGAAUACAUGUAAAUGUUAAGAAUACACUGUGUUUGAUGACACUUCCAGGCCUUGGGACAUAGAGUAUCUCCAGCCAUAACUGUUUUACCACAACUGUCCCUGGUCCCAGCACACCUGGAGCCCACAACCCCUGGCCUGUUUCUUCAAGCAGUAGCAGUUGACAGAACCAUCGAUCCAAGGACAACUGUGCAGAUGCCUUUGAUGACUCCACUCAUAUCAGAUUUAGUUACCAGGAGUUCCAAGGACCAGUCCUGAUCCUCAGACAACAGUAACUUCUUUGGC